GACGAACGCUGGCGGCGUGCUUAAUACAUGCAAGUCGAACGGACAGGCCCUGCUUUUGUUGCUUUCUCGAUUGGCGAACGCGUGUGUAACACGCGAGUAUCCUGCCCUUGACUUUCUGAUAACUUUAGGAAACUCCGGCUCUUAUCCGAUAUGAUCUCCUGCUGCAUGUUGUUGGUUGGAAAGUUUCGGCUGUUCGGGAUGGUCUCGCGGCUUCUGAGCUUGUUGGUGGGGUAGUGGCUUACCAAGGCUUUGACGGGUAGCCGGCCUGGGAGGGUUAACGGGGACAUUGGGACUGAGAGACGGAGCAGAAUGCAACGGGAGGCAGCAGGGGAGAAUAUGGCACAAUGAGCGGAAGCCUGAGGCAGCAACGCCGGGUGCGGGAUGACGGCCUACGGGUGGUGAACCGCUUUCGACUGUGACGAAGAGUGAGUGACGGUAAUGGGUAAAGAAGCAACGGCUAACUACGUG
rnacentral:rRNA from 1 species